rnacentral:rRNA from 1 species
CCUACGGGUGGCAGCAGUGAGGAAUAUUGGUCAAUGGGCGCGAGCCUGAACCAGCCAAGUAGCGUGAAGGAUGACUGCCCUACGGGUUGUCAACUUCUUUUAUAAAGGAAUAAAGUGAGGCACGUGUGCCUUUUUGUAUGUACUUUAUGUAUAAGGAUCGGCUAACUCCGUGCCCGCAGCCCCGGUAAUCCGGCGGUUCCGAGCGUUAUACGGAUUUAUUGGGUUUAAAGGGAGCGUAGAUGGGUUGUUAAGUCAGUUGUGAAAGUUUGCGGCUCAACCGUAAAAUUGCAAUUGAUACUGGCAGCCUUGAGAACAGUUGAGGUAGGCGGAAUGCGUGGUGUAGCGGUGAAAUGCUUAGAUAUCACGAAGAACUCCGAUUGCGAAGGCAGCCUACUAAACUGCCACUGACAUUGAUGCUCGAAAGUGUGGGUAUCAAACAGGAUUAGAUACCCCAGUAGUC